GAAAAAUAUCCCCAGAUUUACCACGCGCACUGCCCCUUCCUCUCUCGCCUCCUUCCCUGGCUCUCGUCAAUAAGCACGGCGGCGGCGACGUUGUGAGUCAUCGAGGCGGAGGAAGACGGGUGGCGGGAUGGAUCUGGUCACGGUGGAGUUGGAGCUCGAUCGGACAAGCGGUGGCGUGUUGGAGCAGUGCUGGUUUGGCCAGCCGGUGCCGCGCGGAGUGCGAAGAGAUCGUCGGCGACAUGCUGCGGGAGCGGGACAGCGGGAUCUGCUCUGGGCGGUCCAGGGCAUGCCGGUGCCGCUCGUGCGGCCGAACGGCGGCCGUAGCGGCACGGCCGGGGAGAGUUGCGUCGAUCAGGUCUUGUAAUGGUGGUCAACUGGAAUUUUAGAAUAAGCUUGUGGACAGUGAGAACUCGGGCGAAGAAGAAGAAAAAGAGCUUGAGCCCUUGGAUGAUGAUGGUGAUUUUAUUGAUAGUAGGAGGCGACCGAAAUGUCUUAAGGUCGCAGAAACUGAAACUCCUGAGCGGCAAAAGCUUCCUAUGCAGGCUCCAUCGAAACAAGGUUGCAUCUGAAAACUGUCGGCCCUAAUGAUGUUUUCUCAAAUGUCAAUUCUCAUUAUGAAUACCGAACUUCUGGGGAGGAGGAGGACGCAGAGAAAUACCUCAUAUGCUGAAUGUGAAAGUGUUGAUAGUCACAAGAAGUCAACUAAAAAAAGGUGGCACUUUUGCUUGUGUCUUGUUAUCUUUUCAAAAUGGUGAAGCUGACAAUGAUGGCCUUCCAUUGGCGGAGUGCUUAGAUGAUCGUCGAGAUCUGAAGGAUGUUGUCUUCUUUUUUAGAAAAGAAGGAUGUUGUCUUCUACAAGCAGCAAGCAAAUUUUUUGUUCAAAAGCUUAUCUAAAGGCCAACAUGAAUCAUCAACACUGCCAACUGAGACUGGACCAUACCUUUUCCAGGUCAAGGAGGCCUAGAUCCAGGGUCAGGGCCGGCAGGGCUUGGUCGUCUAUGCCUACAACUACGUGACAGGGUCGGGUUGACGCCGCUGAUGAAGAUGCACACCCUCAGCCAUGACUUUGUACCCGAUCCCAUCCAUGCAGGUGGGCUUCGCUACCAUGGAACGACACCUGAUCUCUCAUGUGUAUGAGCUCGGUUUCAUGGAAGCUAUAUGUUCAUAGGGUAAUCCGAGUGCUUCCAAGGUGAUGCCGAACCUGGCAAACGUUGGUCUUUUUUGGUGGCUUUGCUCCUCUUCCGAAGAAGAUACCUUCAGAGGAGACUGGGGAAGACAUGGAAGCUACAGUCAAAUUGCAAUGAUACCAUUAAAUACCCAUAGCACAACAUUAUCAGUAGUCAAUAAGAUUUUAAUCAAGGACAACUGGAGCCUAUUGAUUUUCAAUCGUCGACUCAUGAUUUGCUUCAGACAAGCGAAGCUGUUGAGGAGGAGCACGGGUGCCCGGGACGACAACAACGACAAGGCAAAGAAGACAUCGUGGAUUCAUUGUCCAGGACAUAUAUGGAUUGUGCUCCCUGCAUUUUCUAAUUUGUCCACGGCUCAGCUUGGUUUCAUAAGCUCCUCUAGCCCGCAUAUGCACGUUCACAACCGCACCAACAAGCCAGGUGCGCAAAGGACCGCACAAGAGGCGCGCCCUGGGCACGCCCCAUCCACUAGUUUACUGCAAGAGUAGAACGUGCUUUCAACGAGCAUCAAUCAACAAACACCACUGGGCUAGUAUUUUUCCGAGGCCCAUAGCACACGUGAGAAAGCGCACUCCAGUCAGUAUACUUGCCUCAAACAAGAAAAACUCUAGUCAGUAAACUCUUUUUCAGACUAGUCACAAUGAGAGUAACAUAGAUGGUAACAUCACACAUAUCUUCAUAAAAUAGAUGAUAUGACAAGCAAUUAAUGGAGAAAGAUAGACACGUGGUAACAUAGCUAAUUAUUAGUAGUAUGGGUAACAUCACAUAUAUCAAAACAAGAUGAGUCUAUAACCUCAUAAAUAAAGUGUUGCAUGAUACCAUAUAUAUGUUACACCACUAUAGAGGUAAUAACAUAGACACAUUGUGGCUAGUCUGAGAAAGCCCACACCAUCGUAUCUCUUUUUCUCAAAAAAGAAAAUAAAAUAAACAACAAC